AGAGUUUGAUCCUGGCCCAGGAUGAACGCUAGCUACAGGCUUAACACAUGCAAGUCGAGGGGCAGCAUGAUCAAAGCUUGCUUUGAUUGAUGGCGACCGGCGCACGGGUGAGUAACGCGUAUCCAACCUUCCCCUUAGUAGGGCAUAGCCCGUAGAAAUGCGGAUUAAUACCCUAUGUUAUUCGUCGAGGACAUCUGAAAUGAAUUAAAGGUUUACCGCUAAGGGAUGGGGAUGCGUCCGAUUAGGCAGCAGGCGGGGUAACGGCCCACCUGGCCAACGAUCGGUAGGGGUUCUGAGAGGAAGGUCCCCCACAUUGGAACUGAGACACGGUCCAAACUCCUACGGGAGGCAGCAGUGAGGAAUAUUGGUCAAUGGGCGAGAGCCUGAACCAGCCAAGUAGCGUGCAGGAUGACGGCCCUAUGGGUUGUAAACUGCUUUUAUGCGGGGAUAAAGUCACCCACGUGUGGGUGUUUGUAGGUACCGCAUGAAUAAGGACCGGCUAAUUCCGUGCCAGCCGCAGC
rnacentral:rRNA from 1 species